UACCCGCAGCUCAAGUGGUGGUCAUUAUUAUUGGGCCUAAAGCGUCCGUAGCUGGUUUGUUAAAUGCCUGGGUAAAUCGAAGCGCUCAACGUUUCGAAUUCCGGGUAGACUGGCAAACUCGAGACCGGGAGAGGUGUAGGCUACUCGAGGGGUAGGGGUAAAAUCCUGUAAUCCUUCGGGGAGGACCAGUGGCGAAGGCGCUACACUAGAACGGCUCUGACAGUGAGGGACGAAGCCCUGGGGCGCAAACCGG
rnacentral:rRNA from 1 species